rnacentral:tRNA from 1 species
CUCUAAGAAGCUUAACCGGGGAAAGCGUUAGCCUUUUAAGCUAAAGAAUGGUGGCCCCCACCCACCCUUAGUGA